UUGCAAUUAACUAACCUGACCAGGUUUCUGAUAGGGGCCUGAUGUGCAAGGGCUGCAAAUAGCAGCCUCUUAGGUAGUACAAUGCAGAUUGUUGUUCUCAUGGGUUUCCCUAAGGGACUUUGUGCACAGUU